AUCCAGCUCACGAGUCCCAAAUAGGACGAAACGCGCGUCCUCGAU
rnacentral:hammerhead_ribozyme from 1 species